rnacentral:rRNA from 1 species
UAGGGAAUUUUCGUCAAUGGGCGCAAGCCUGAACGAGCGAUGCCGCGUGAGUGAAGAAGGCCUUCGGGUCGUAAAGCUCUGUUGCGGGGGAAAAAAGGACAGCAUCAGGAAAUGGGUGCUGACUGAUGGUGCCCCGCCAGAAAGUC